UACGAGGGGGGGCGAGCGUUGUUCGGAAUUAUUGGGCGUAAAGGGUGCGUAGGCGGUUUGGUAAGUCUUGUGUGAAAUCUACAGGCUCAACUUGUAGUCUGCACGAGAAACUGCCGGGCUUGAGUGUGGGAGAGGUGAGUGGAAUUCCUGGUGUAGCGGUGAAAUGCGUAGAUAUCAGGAGGAACACCUGUGGCGAAAGCGGCUCACUGGACCAUAACUGACGCUGAUGCACGAAAGCUAGGGGAGCAAACAGG
rnacentral:rRNA from 1 species